CCAAUAGCGUAUAUUAAAGUUGUUGCAGUUAAAAAGCUCGUAGUUGAAUUUCGGGAUCAAUAUAUCGGUCGUGCCAUCGGUACGUACUGGUAUCAUUGGUUUCUCCUUUCUGACGAACCAUGAUGUCAUUAAUUUGGUGUUAUGGGAAGUUAGGACUGUUACUUUGAAAAAAUUAGAGUGUUUAAAGCAGGCUUUAGCUUGAAUACAUUAGCAUGGAAUAAUGAAAUAGGACGUUCGAACCUAUUUUGUUGGUUUCUAGGAUCAACGUAAUGAUUAAUAGGGAUAGUUGGGGGCAUUAGUAUUCAAUUGGCAGAGGUGAAAUUCUUGGAUUUAUUGAAGACUAACUACUGCGAAAGCAUUUGCCAAGGAUGUUUUCAUUAAUCAAGAACGAAAGUUAGGGGAUCGAAGACGAUCAGAUACCGUCGUAGUCUUAACCAUAAACUAUGCCGACUAGGGAUCGGAUGAUGUUAAUUUUUUAAUGACUCAUUCGGCGCCUUACG
rnacentral:misc_RNA from 1 species